rnacentral:rRNA from 1 species
GACGAACGCUGGCGGCGUGCUUAACACAUGCAAGUCGAACGGAAAGGCCCUGCUUUUGUGGGGUGCUCGAGUGGCGAACGGGUGAGUAACACGUGAGUAACCUGCCCUUGACUUUGGGAUAACUUCAGGAAACUGCGGCUAAUACCGCAUAGGAGCUCCUGCUGCACGGUGGGGGUUGGAAAGUUUCGGCGGUUGGGGAUGGACUCGCGGCUUAUCAGCUUGUUGGUGGGGUAGUGGCUUACCAAGGCUUUGACGGGUAGCCGGCCUGAGAGGGUGACCGGCGACAUUGGGACUGAGAUACGGCGCAGACUCCUACGGGAGGCAGCAGUGGGGAGUAUUGCGCAGUGGGCGGGAGCCUGAUGCAGCAACGCCGCGUGCGGGAUGACGGCCUUCGGGUUGUAAACCGCUUUCGCCUGUGACGAAGCGUGAGUGACGGUAAUGGGUAAAGAAGCACCGGCUAACUACGUG